UUCUAGUGGCGGACGGGUGAGUAACGCGUGGGUAACCUGCCUUAUACAGGGGGAUAACAGUCAGAAAUGGCUGCUAAUACCGCAUAAGCGCACAGAGCUGCAUGGCUCGGUGUGAAAAACUCCGGUGGUAUAAGAUGGACCCGCGUUGGAUUAGCUUGUUGGUGGGGUAACGGCCCACCAAGGCGACGAUCCAUAGCCGGCCUGAGAGGGUGAACGGCCACAUUGGGACUGAGACACGGCCCAGACUCCUACGGGAGGCAGCAGUGGGGAAUAUUGCACAAUGGGGGAAACCCUGAUGCAGCGACGCCGCGUGAAGGAAGAAGUAUCUCGGUAUGUAAACUUCUAUCAGCAGGGAAGAUAGUGACGGUACCUGACUAAGAAGCCCCGGCUAACUACGUGCCAGCAGCCGCGGUAAUACGUAGGGGGCAAGCGUUAUCCGGAUUUACUGGGUGUAAAGGGAGCGUAGACGGUGUGGCAAGUCUGAUGUGAAAGGCAUGGGCUCAACCUGUGGACUGCAUUGGAAACUGUCAUACUUGAGUGCCGGAGGGGUAAGCGGAAUUCCUAGUGUAGCGGUGAAAUGCGUAGAUAUUAGGAGGAACA
rnacentral:rRNA from 1 species